UCCUGUGGAACAGUUACUUUUUGCUUAUAAACUUCUUGACAGAGCAAUCAGUGGAAUAAAUUUGAAUUGCAUGUUAACCUCUUUGCCAAAUGGAUCAUCAGUAAUUGACCACUGCUAUGCCAAGCGUACCCACCAUGUAGAUGGAGAUACUUACAAACCACUUGCCUCAAAUAGUUUCAUGAUGGAUUUGCAUCUUGAACUAAUUCAAGCUCAGCAUCGAAUAGCUGUUGUGCUUCUGGACAAAUUGCAAGUUUUGCAGACUCCAACUGUUAGCAAAGAUAUUUCUACCAAGGGUCCGGAAAAGUUAAAACAAUCUGGAAGCACUGAUUGUUUUACAGAAUUAAAUAUAAUGAAUAAAAUAAAGAAGAAUACAUUAUCCAAAGCAAUUUACUUAAUGCAGAAAGCUCUUUUAAUAUUUGAGAAAGAUGCAACUUCUACAUCUUCAUGGGAACUUUUGAUGAUUCACUAUAUAUAAUUCAUCCUGACCAGGGGAACUAAUUCGUACCUCCAGUUCUGAAUUCUGAAAUGAGAGAUUCUCUUUUUAUCAGAACUUCAUGCAAUCUACAUGAGAAGACAAAUAAAAUCAGAAGGACUCAAAAUGAGGGAAAUUAUAGAAUUGGAGUGACACUUUACCAGCUUAAUGUAUUCUUUACAAUGGAAUUAAAAUUCUUAAAGUCCAUUGGCUGAGGAAGCAUAUUCCUUAAUUCAGAGGAUUGAAGCUGAACAAAAUGCCCUAUAUUCCUAUCAGAAAUAUUUGGAAAGUUCAAAAAGAAAGAAAAGCAGAGUCCCCCCUCCACCUAUC
rnacentral:sRNA from 1 species